rnacentral:rRNA from 1 species
UUCCGGUUGAUCCUGCCGGAGGGAACCCCUAUCGGGUUCAGACUAAGCCAUGCGAGUCGGCUGGGGGCACUUGCCCCUGGCGGCGCACGGCUCAGUAAUACGCGGUCAACCUACCCUGGGGACCGGGAUAACCUCGGGAAACUGAGGCUAAUCCCGGAUGGGUGUAGGGUGCUGAAAUGCCCCUACGCCGAAAGUAGGCGGGAAAUGGACCGCUGAGGCCCCAGGAUGGGACCGCGGCCUAUCAGGUAGUAGGUGGGGUAACGGCCCACCUAGCCUACGACGGGUACGGGCCCUGAGAGGGGGAGCCCGGAGAUGGGCACUGAGACAAGGGUCUAGGCCCUAAGGGGCGCAGCAGGCGCGAAGAUUCCGCAAUGCCCGAAAGGGCGACGGAGUGAACCCGAGUGCCACCCGCUGAGGGUGGCUGUUCCCCUGUGUAAAAAGCAGGGGGUAGGAAGGGGAGGGCAAGGCUGGUGGCAGCCGCCGCGGUAAAACCAGCUCCCCGAGGGGUUCCCACGCAUACUGGGCCUAAAGCGUCCGUAGCCGGCCCUGUAAGUCCGCAGUUAAAUCCGCCUGUAGACAGGCGGGCUGCUGCGGAUACUGCAGGGCUAGGGAGCGGGAGGAGCCGGGGGUAUUCCCGGGGGAGCGGUAAAAUGCGUAGAUCCCGGAAGGACCACCAGUGGCGAAGGCGCCCGGCUUGAACGCGUCCCGACGGUGAGGGAC